ensembl:lncRNA
CCACACCCCCUGGAACUGCACAAUAGGAAACAAGUAGGAAGGAUGCUGAAUGGAGAGUUGAGUGGUGCUUGCUUUGCCAACUCCUGAAGCCACUGUCUGCUUCCUCAAGGUUUGGAUCAGGAUGGGGAUGAGCAUUUCGUGCCCCAGUGGUGGAUGUCAGGAUGCAGAGCUUGUGGGUUCCUUUGUAAAGUGUCCUCUGAGACCACAGCCCUGUCGGACAGACUGAUGACACCCAAGUGAAUGUGCCUCCACAUUGUCCCAGCCAGGCAGCUCUGCAGCAGCGGGCAUUCCUGCUGCCAGGGAAAGCAACUGGAGAGCCUUCAGCCUCCCCUCCCCUCAACUUUACAGGCACACCUGGCACAAUGAUGCUUGUAAAUGGGAGGGAGAGAGUUAAUGGUGGAAUUUGGGUUUUGUACAAAUCAGCACAUUCUACUUUUAUAAAUGCACGUAUCUAUAUAUAGAGAGAGGGGUGAACGUUCCAGCGCGACAUCGCAUUUUUAUCAAGAAGAACCCAAGUCUACAGGCUGGAUAUUAAGCCAAACAGCAUGUUUGCAGCACAUUUCAUCUCUUUCUUCGAGCCUCCGGUUUUCCGGGAGAGGUUUUGAAGUGGCCUCAUUUGUAAUCUGACCUCUCUUCAUGUCAUAUUUGCGUCAUCAGCUCUGGGGGCCAUGCUAGGAUGCUGACAAGUAUUUCUGGCUUUAAAAUAUGACUCUUUGGCAACCCAAAGAAGAAAAAAAAAAAAAGACAAAUACCCCACUGACUUUGGAGUGUUUCUGCAUAAAAUGGAGAGGGCUCAUGGCACAAUGCAACUGCAACCAAGAGUGUCCCAGGACACCGCUCUGCUUUAUUACCAGUGGUUAUUGCAAGACCAGUAGGGGGACUGGUUGGCUGGAGAUGCCUAUGGCAAAAGGAAUGUGGACACAGUGCUGGGGUAGAGCAGGGGCAAUCAAAGCUCUGAGAAAAUGCAUUUUUGCUGUUUUCCUAUCAGCUGGGGCUACGUCAGAAACCAUCAGCAGCACCUGGUGUUAGAUCCGGUGCUCGUGCAAAGAGAAAAGAGGUGCAUCUUCACGAACUCAGUGGAGCUACGUAGAUUUCUGCAAUCGUAACAUCUGAAAAAGAGAAAAAGAAAUGGGCUUAUGUAGACUUAGAAGUAAUCUCUAUUAAUCCCCCAAUUCUUCAAGACGGUCUUCAAGAGUUUUGGGUUUUACGUGCAUGUCAGCAUCUACAAGGUUGAAACCAAAGGAUGUUCCAGCCAGCCCCGAAAUGAAAAACCUAAAUAUGAAAUAUUAAAAACAGAUCGGCUCUAGAGAAGAACUUUGACAUCGCCACAAAUCUGAAGAAGAAAGGGAAAACUCUGGCACUGAAAUUCAGGAUGACAUCACUUUCUGAGAACCUGAUGCCAAAACAGUGCUAUCUCUGGGAGAGCUUCAGUGAAAGCUUUUGUCAUCUUUGCCAGGUUAGUAUAGCUUUGAGAUAAAAAGCACUUUCUUAUUUAUUCUGCAGGAUGGGGGGGCGAGGCAGGGGGUGCGUUUUCCCCUGGGAAAUAUUACAUUCAGAUAUGUAGUAUCCAUUCCAGCAGCAGAAGACUUGCCAUCUUUGAGCAAGUCAUUGAUCUUCCUUCCCUAACGUGUUCAAAAACCCAAUGACACACAAUGCUUCUGAAAGAAGCCUGGAAACCACAGUGCUCCUUGGUGGCUGCGUAAUGCUAUACUCGGGGCUCAGCAAUUUAUUUCUUAUUUUUAUUUUUUUAUUUUUUACUUCAAUUUAUCAUCACCAGCUUUCUGCAAAUUGUCAAGAGGAGCCCCUGUCAAAACCCUGACACCGCCACUCUCCUUUUGUUUUCCCCCUACGUCCAUCAGUUCAGUGGGGGGUUCCAAAAAGAUACAAUGAAAUGCAAAACCCGGGGAGGAAAUCAGCUUUGCUCUGCACUGCCUGCAGUGUGCAGAGCUCUCUCGCUUGCUUUUUUUUUUCCCCUUCCCGGCAGCAGGGACAGCAGGUAGCUCCUUCCCUCUAAAGCUCCAGGUCAUAAACGUCUCUCAGCACCUUCAGGAAAUAAAAGCCCUGCGCUGGUGGGGCGGAUGCCUUGGAUACCAAACAAGUGACAUAAAUAUUGCGGCGGUAUGAGGUGUCGAUGCUAGCAAGGGGCUGUAAGAACAGAACUACAGCUGCGUGGAUUAUCACAGGCUCCUCUGGGACUGCAUGGGUAGAACAUGUGGGGUUGCAUGGAUAACACCUCUGGGACUGCAUAGGUAGCACAUUGGGACCGCCCAGAGAGCACCUAUGGGACUCUCCAGGUAACACCUCUGGGAAUCCCUAGAUAACUCAUUUAACACUCCACAGAUGCUACCUUUGGGUGUUAUCCCCAGAUAACACCUCUGGGAUUCCCCAGAUAGCACUCCUCCACAUGGAGUGGUGGGUGCUGCUUCACACCCUCACAUCUGACUGCAGAGGAACACCAGGUUUGCCUGGGUAGGCAAUGCAGACAGCAGGGCUAGAGAUGCAGAUGUGUGGCAUUUAAGGAAAAGCUGAGGGGGCUGUAAAGCUUUGGAUGGAAAAGGCCAUCCAAGAUUUGUGUCCAACAGAAAUCCAUCGUCAAAAAUUGCCACUUUUGGAGCACCAUACUAGGGAUGCCAAAGGUGAAUUGUCCGAAGCAAGGCAGAAAUCCUGCUUGCUGUGGAAGGGAGCAGCAUGCACAGGCAGGGUUUGCAACCAGAGCUGGGAAGGAAAGGGACAGCGUGAGGAAGGGCUGAGCAGUGGGGCCAGGUCCCAGAGCCAGCAGGGAGGGAGCAGACCGCAGCCCAUCCUGGCUAUCAGCACCUUUAGCAACGCUCGUCUGAGGCACGUCCAGGUUUCAUCACCUUCCAUGGCCUCGUUCUCUCCGUGCCAGAUAUAUUUGUUGUUAAUUAAGACAAUUGGAAAGAGACCGGAUGACUGCCAGAGCAGAUGCACUGGGAUAGCUCCCAACAUGGAAAGCAUCUCCUGCAACAUGUCAUUCCCUUUGUUCAGGUCUCUCCUUGAGCACCCAUUUAGGUUUGGAUCACUACCGGGCAUCCCACUUUCCCAGGUCCCUCCGGCCCAUUGGGAUGGGUGCCCAAAGGGCUGUUUGGGAGGAAACCCUAUGAAGUGUCUGAGCAUUCUGGGAUUCAGUGUCCCAUUUGCAAAAGCAACUUAUGCAAUUGUGGGAAAGUUUAUAAAUAAUUUGCAGCUCAUGGCUUGGUUUGUAACUUCUACUGGGAGCCAGGCGGAGUGGGGGGCGUAUUCUGUGUAUCCUUCUGCAUACGCUCCUGUAGGAGGACGGGGAUCCGGUUACAAAGACCUCAAAACAUUUGAACCAGUUGGAGUUGGAUGAUUGUAUAUAGGCUGUUCUGAAAUAUAACCAACAUUUACUGAAAGCUGACCCUGCGUGAGAGCCGGCGCUUUGGCCAGCGUGGUCCCCAGUGGCGCUGCUCAAGCAGGUGUUGGUGACCCUGCAGAACGAGUUACGGAUGGGGACGUGCCUGCAGCGCCCUGCAGUCCAGGCUGCUGGGGGAAGGUGAGCAGCAAAGCCACAGUGAAGUCAGAACUGGAAAACACCCAUCCUGGAAAUUCGUAUCCUGAACGUGUGCCCCAUCCUUGUGAGCACUGCGGUGACAUGGUGCAUGGCACUGUGCAAGUGGGAGCAGCCACGAUCUGUGUUCGUGCCAAACACCUGCAACCCCUUUCCAACAGCACUACUCACUUCGGUUUCACAUCUUUAUGUUUCUUAGUGUGUCACAAAGAAAAUAAACACAUGCUCCACCAAUGAGUCUCCUCGAAUGAGAUCCAUAACGUUCCUCAUGGUGCUCCACGCUUCCCAAAGAAACGGAGCUAGAGAUAGAUGGCUCACGUAGAGCUGAUGGAAACAGUUUGGAGCUAACUUUUUCCAUCAGAAAAUGUCACCUCAUCAAAAUGGAUAUGUUCCGAGGGAUGGGAUCGAUUUUGACAAAAUCUUCAGUGGAAAAGUGUCAGAAUGAAUUGUUUCCACCCUCUUGCUUUGUUGCCAUAAACUCAGAAAGUUCCGCUCUGAUCAAGCUCAAUUUUCUCUGGGCUGUGUCAGCCUGCCUGAUGCAGAGAGCAAUUUGCUGUGAGCCUGGAUGGCAGCGAUCAGUGCAGCACUGCCCAUUCUUCUUUGGGAUGUGCCUGGGGCUUUUGCUCCCAGUGUUUCACUGCCAUGGGGGGAGGAACCAGCCAGGUGCAUGGGGCACACAGUGAUGCUGCUUGGGGGUCUCUGCUGGCCCCCAAAUGCAGAGCAGCACAUUCCUGCCAGCAGCCCUCCUCCCAGGAAUCCCAGCACCCUCUGAUCCCAUCGCCCCUGCAGUUCACCUCUCACCACCUGUGGCCACAUCAGCCCCAUUUCCCUCCAGAUGAAGCUGGGAGACGGGCAGCAGCAGCUUUCCCACCAUCCACUCAUGUGCUCAAAGCAGGGUUUGAGCCCCAAACCCCCUGGACAUGCCCAGCUCCAAUAAAUCUUCGGAGCGACCAUAAUUAUUAUCAGUGCCAUUUUCAACAUGAGCAAAACAAUCUAUUUAUCCUUAUUCUCUCAGAACAGAACGAUCCUCUCCAGCUGGAGCUGACUUUUCUCUCUCUUCACACUGCUUUUUUUCCCCUCCUGCUGCUGUCAGCCUUCGGAAAGCGCUUGUUGUGGCAAAUUUCACCCCCAGUAAUAUAUUGCCCCUUACGUUUCUAACUGAAUUUCCAAUGGGUGACGUCCACAGCACCUGCUGCUACCAGUGCCAUCGCAGUGGUGGCCACAGACAGUGCUGGGCAGAGGGUCAGAAUCCCUUCUCACACAGCAAAGCACAAGAAAACACAGGACAGCCACAGGUUUUUGCUCUAAAUCCAUGCCAAAAAGCAGACUGCAUGGCUUUGGUUGGAUGGGGGGCACCGCCUGCGCAUCCGUCUGUUCUCUGCCUGAAAAAGUGAAUGCUUCCUCGCAGCUCAAAAAUACUCCUUUUAUGUAUUUGUGGAACAAUAGGGUCUCCCUCUGGUGGCAAAUCCAGCCCGAGGUGUGCUGACAUGGCAGCGGGUGUAUGGGACAGCCAGCUGGCACCGGGCAGUGCCAAAGGGACUCACUGGAUUUUCGUCAGUGCUGGGUAGUGCUGGGCUGGGAUCCCCACACCCAUCCCAAAAG